AGCCUGAUCCAGCGAUCCGGGGUGCGGGAUGAAGGCCUUCGGGUUGUAAACCGCUUUUGUAAGGGAAGAAAUCGCUUGGGUUAAUACCCAGGGGGGAUGACGGUACCUGAAGAAUAAGCACCGGCUAACUACGUGCCAGCAGCCGCGGUAAUACGUAAGGUGCGAGCGUUAAUCGGAAUUACUGGGCGUAAAGCGUGCGCAGGCGGUUAUAUAAGACAGAUGUGAAAUCCCCGGGCUCAACCUGGGAACUGCAUUUGUGACUGUAAGGCUGGAGUACGGUAGAGGGGGGUGGAAUUCCCCGUGUAGCAGUGAAAUGCGUAGAAAUGCGGAGGAACACCGAUGGCGAAGGCAGCCCCCUGGACCUGUACUGACGCUCAUGCACGAAAACGUGGGGAGCAAACAGGAUUAGAUACCCUGGUAGUCCACGCCCUAAACGAUGUCCACUGGUUGUUGGGUGGGUUUCAACCNGUUAACGCACCCUAACGCGUGUUGUUGACGCCCUGGGGGAGUACGGCCGCAAGGUUGAUACUC
rnacentral:rRNA from 1 species